GGGUUGUGAGGUUAAGCGACUAAGCGUACACGGUGGAUGCCCUGGCAGUCAGAGGCGAUGAAGGACGUGCUAAUCUGCGAAAAGCGUCGGUAAGGUGAUAUGAACCGUUAUAACCGGCGAUGUCCGAAUGGGGAAACCCAGUGCAAUUCGUUGCACUAUCGUUAACUGAAUACAUAGGUUAACGAGGCGAACCGGGGGAACUGAAACAUCUAAGUACCCCGAGGAAAAGAAAUCAACCGAGAUUCCCCCAGUAGCGGCGAGCGAACGGGGAGCAGCCCAGAGUCUGAAUCAGCUUGUGUGUUAGUGGAACGGUCUGGAAAGUCCGACGGUACAGGGUGAUAGUCCCGUACACCAAAAUGCACAGGUUGUGAACUCGAAGAGUAGGGCGGGACACGUGGUAUCCUGUCUGAAUAUGGGGGGACCAUCCUCCAAGGCUAAAUACUCCUGACUGACCGAUAGUGAACCAGUACCGUGAGGGAAAGGCGAAAAGAACCCCGGCGAGGGGAGUGAAAAAGAACCUGAAACCGUGUACGUACAAGCAGUGGGAGCACCUUCGGGUGUGACUGCGUACCUUUUGUAUAAUGGGUCAGCGACUUAUAUUCUGUAGCAAGGUUAACCGUAUAGGGGAGCCGCAGGGAAACCGAGUCUUAACUGGGCGUUAAGUUGCAGGGUAUAGACCCGAAACCCGGUGAUCUAGCCAUGGGCAGGUUGAAGGUUGGGUAACACUAACUGGAGGACCGAACCGACUAAUGUUGAAAAAUUAGCGGAUGACUUGUGGCUGGGGGUGAAAGGCCAAUCAAACCGGGAGAUAGCUGGUUCUCCCCGAAAGCUAUUUAGGUAGCGCCUCGUGAAUUCAUCUUCGGGGGUAGAGCACUGUUUCGGCUAGGGGGUCAUCCCGACUUACCAACCCGAUGCAAACUACGAAUACCGAAGAAUGUUAUCACGGGAGACACACGGCGGGUGCUAACGUCCGUCGUGAAGAGGGAAACAACCCAGACCGCCAGCUAAGGUCCCAAAGUCAUGGUUAAGUGGGAAACGAUGUGGGAAGGCACAGACAGCCAGGAUGUUGGCUUAGAAGCAGCCAUCAUUUAAAGAAAGCGUAAUAGCUCACUGGUCGAGUCGGCCUGCGCGGAAGAUGUAACGGGGCUAAACCAUGCACCGAAGCUGCGGCAGCGACACUAUGUGUUGUUGGGUAGGGGAGCGUUCUGUAAGCCUGCGAAGGUGACCUGUGAGGGUUGCUGGAGGUAUCAGAAGUGCGAAUGCUGACAUAAGUAACGAUAAAGCGGGUGAAAAGCCCGCUCGCCGGAAGACCAAGGGUUCCUGUCCAACGUUAAUCGGGGCAGGGUGAGUCGACCCCUAAGGCGAGGCCGAAAGGCGUAGUCGAUGGGAAACAGGUUAAUAUUCCUGUACUUGGUGUUACUGCGAAGGGGGGACGGAGAAGGCUAUGUUAGCCGGGCGACGGUUGUCCCGGUUUAAGCAUGUAGGCUGAUUGUCCAGGCAAAUCCGGAUAAUCAAGGCUGAGGUGUGAUGACGAGGCACUACGGUGCUGAAGUAACAAAUGCCCUGCUUCCAGGAAAAGCCUCUAAGCAUCAGGUAACAUCAAAUCGUACCCCAAACCGACACAGGUGGUCAGGUAGAGAAUACCAAGGCGCUUGAGAGAACUCGGGUGAAGGAACUAGGCAAAAUGGUGCCGUAACUUCGGGAGAAGGCACGCUGGUGUGUAGGUGAAGUCCCUGCGGAUGGAGCUGAGACCAGUCGAAGAUACCAGCUGGCUGCAACUGUUUAUUAAAAACACAGCACUGUGCAAACACGAAAGUGGACGUAUACGGUGUGACGCCUGCCCGGUGCCGGAAGGUUAAUUGAUGGGGUUAUCCGUAAGGAGAAGCUCUUGAUCGAAGCCCCGGUAAACGGCGGCCGUAACUAUAACGGUCCUAAGGUAGCGAAAUUCCUUGUCGGGUAAGUUCCGACCUGCACGAAUGGCGUAAUGAUGGCCAGGCUGUCUCCACCCGAGACUCAGUGAAAUUGAACUCGCUGUGAAGAUGCAGUGUACCCGCGGCAAGACGGAAAGACCCCGUGAACCUUUACUAUAGCUUGACACUGAACAUUGAGCCUUGAUGUGUAGGAUAGGUGGGAGGCUUUGAAGCGUGGACGCCAGUCUGCGUGGAGCCAACCUUGAAAUACCACCCUUUAAUGUUUGAUGUUCUAACGUUGGCCCCUGACCGGGGUUGCGGACAGUGUCUGGUGGGUAGUUUGACUGGGGCGGUCUCCUCCCAAAGCGUAACGGAGGAGCACGAAGGUUAGCUAAUCCUGGUCGGACAUCAGGAGGUUAGUGCAAUGGCAUAAGCUAGCUUGACUGCGAGCGUGACGGCGCGAGCAGGUGCGAAAGCAGGUCAUAGUGAUCCGGUGGUUCUGAAUGGAAGGGCCAUCGCUCAACGGAUAAAAGGUACUCCGGGGAUAACAGGCUGAUACCGCCCAAGAGUUCAUAUCGACGGCGGUGUUUGGCACCUCGAUGUCGGCUCAUCACAUCCUGGGGCUGAAGUAGGUCCCAAGGGUAUGGCUGUUCGCCAUUUAAAGUGGUACGCGAGCUGGGUUUAGAACGUCGUGAGACAGUUCGGUCCCUAUCUGCCGUGGGCGCUGGAGAAUUGAGGGGGGCUGCUCCUAGUACGAGAGGACCGGAGUGGACGCAUCACUGGUGUUCGGGUUGUCAUGCCAAUGGCACUGCCCGGUAGCUAAAUGCGGAAGAGAUAAGUGCUGAAAGCAUCUAAGCACGAAACUUGCCCCGAGAUGAGUUCUCCCUGAGACUUUAAGUCUCCUGAAGGAACGUUGAAGACGACGACGUUGAUAGGCCGGGUGUGUAAGCGCAGCGAUGCGUUGAGCUAACCGGUACUAAUGAACCGUGAGGCUUAACCUUACAACGCCGAAG
rnacentral:rRNA from 1 species